AGCAGUAGCCACGGGAAUACGUAGGUGGCAAGCGUUGUCCGGAAUUAUUGGGCGUAAAGGGCUCGCAGGCGGUUUCUUAAGUCUGACGUGAAAGCCCCCGGCUCAACCGGGGAGGGUCAUUGGAAACUGGGAAACUCGAGUGCAGAAGAGGAGAGUGGAAUUCCACGUGUAGCGGUGAAAUGCGUAGAGAUGUGGAGGAACACCAGUGGCGAAGGCGGCGACCUGGUCCGAUACUGACGCUGAGGCGCGAAAGCGUGGGGAGCAAACAGGAUUAGAUACCCCCGUAGUCCCUGUCUCUUAUAC
rnacentral:rRNA from 1 species